GUUUUCUUCGGACACAACAUCUUUGUUUGUAUGUGGUGCUGAGGAUUGAACCCGGGCUGCACGCAUGCCAGGUGAGUGCGCUACCGCUUGAGCCGCAUCCCCAGCCCCCAUUAAUGAUCUUUUUAAAAAACUCUCAACAAUACUAUUUGCCUUGAUGUUUGUCUUGUCUGAUAUUACUACAUUUGCUUUCCUUAAUUUUUAUUUCCCUGCUCUACUUUUUUUUUUUGUCUCUGGAAAUUUUUAUUUCCCUACUCUACUUUUGUGAGCAUUGAUAUUUUUGAUACUUCUCUAUAAACAACCUUUAGUUGACAUUUUUUAGUUGAAUCUAAAAAUCCAUAUCUUUUAAUGUCAGAAUUUCUUCUAGUUAUAUCUGUGAAAGUUACUGAUAUACUUGUAUUCAUUUUGCUAAUUGGAGUGUUUGCUUUUUAUCUUCCUUUUUAUCAGCUUCUCUAUAUGGAAGCCCAUCAUGCUCACAGGUAACCCCAUUCUUCUGCGACUUCCUCCUGCAGCCACUUGCUCUAGCUGCCUGACCUCACUGGCAAUUCUUGAAUGCCUUCCUUGCUAGGCCUCCCCAGAUUUGCCUGUGCCACUCAUCUGUGGGAUGAGUUCAUAGUUCUUUCUACUAUGCAACUUAUACAUUGGACAAUUUCCCACUUGUACUUUAUGCCUCAGUUCAGGGUCACCUUGUCUAUGAAAAUUUUCAGGAUACUUUGAGCCCAGGAUGAUUUGCUGCAUCCUCCUGUUUCCAUAGUACCUAGAGCAUCUCUUUGUUAUGGUUCUCACCAUGUAUUUACUAAAUACAUGUUUAAAUGCCUUUAUUUUCUAGACCAGGAACUUCUUAAUGGUAAGGAGUAUGUCCCUAUUUCUAUCCCCAGAAUCUAGUCCAAUACUUGGCCCAAUUCAUAUUUGUUAAACAAAUGAAUAAAACUAAAAAAUAGAGUUACUAUAAAGAAAAAGGACUUGUUCUGUAAAUCAUAAACAACAUCAUUCUUACUUCUGAUAUGCUUUCCCCCCCCCCCGUUUUAAUAAGACUGGCUUACUUUUCCAACUGCAUUGUGAGUUUUAUGUGGCAGGGACCAUAUUUUGUAGUAGGUUGGUGCCACUUCAUCUUUAAUAGAGUGUUGUGUGUGUAACAAAAUCCCAGAAAAUACUGUUUGAUUGAUGAGAUACAUACAUUCUGACCACUUGUAUUUUACCCAUACAAAAUGUUUUUUAUUAAAAUAAGGGUGUGACAAAUCAGUCAUAAUAAGGACAUAUAUAGAAAGUUCCUUCAGUGGAGUUACUGCCACAUGGC
rnacentral:lncRNA from 1 species